CUUUCAUGGAGAGUUUGAUCUUGGCUCAGGACGAACGCUGGCGGCGUGCCUAAUACAUGCAAGUCGAGCGCAGGAAACCAGAUGACCCCUUCGGGGUGAUUCUGGCGGAAUGAGCGGCGGACGGGUGAGUAACACGUGGGCAACCUGCCUGUAAGACUGGGAUAACUUCGGGAAACCGGAGCUAAUACCGGAUAGUAUUUCCUUUCUCCUGAUUGGAAAUGGAAAGACGGUUUCGGCUGU
rnacentral:rRNA from 1 species